GGGGGCGAUCCGGCUUCGACGGGGGUAUGGAAGCGCAGGUGGCGUGCCGAGGCCCUGUCACCUCGUUAAAAGGCAGGACAAACACAAACGCCGACUCUGACUACGAGUUCGCACUGGCCGCCUAAGGCGGCCACGCCCCAUCCGGCCGGGCCUGCAAGGCCGGACGGGGCGACACCUCAGCAGGCUAGCCUUUCACGGGCGCCCGCCCCCUGAAAGGCGAAAUCUCAGUGGGCUAGCCCCUCCAGACCCCGCCGGGGUGGGCCGGGGAGGGCGAACAUCGAUACGCCGGCUACGCACGUAGAAGCCUGUGUGGAAUGCCUUCGGACCCGGGUUCGAUUCCCGGCGCCUCCACCA
rnacentral:tmRNA from 1 species